rnacentral:rRNA from 1 species
GACGAAGGUGGCAAGCGUUGUUCGGAUUCAUUGGGCUUAAAGGGCGCGUAGGCGGCCCGUCAAGUGCCUUGUGAAAUCCCUCGGCUCAACCGAGGAAUUGCUUGGCAGACUGACAGGCUUGAGGCAGGUAUGGGCGAGUGGAACUCUUGGUGGAGCGGUGAAAUGCGUAGAUAUCAAGAGGAACGCCGGUGGUGAAGACGACUCGCUGGGCCUGUCCUGACGCUGAGGUGCGAAAGCCAGGGUAGCGAACGGG